rnacentral:rRNA from 1 species
CCUACGGGAGGCAGCAGUGGGGAAUAUUGGACAAUGGGCGAAAGCCUGAUCCAGCAAUGCCGCGUGAGUGAUGAAGGCCUUAGGGUUGUAAAGCUCUUUUACCCGGGAAGAUAAUGACUGUACCGGGAGAAUAAGCCCCGGCUAACUCCGUGCCAGCAGCCGCGGUAAUACGGAGGGGGCUAGCGUUAUUCGGAAUUACUGGGCGUAAAGCGUACGUAGGCGGUGGUUCAAGUCAGAGGUGAAAGCCCGGAGCUCAACUCCGGAACUGCCUUUGAAACUAGAUCGCUAGAACAUCGGAGAGGUAAGUGGAAUUCCGAGUGUAGAGGUGAAAUUCGUAGAUAUUCGGAAGAACACCAGUGGCGAAGGCGGCUUACUGGACGAUUGUUGACGCUGAGGUACGAAAGCGUGGGGAGCAAACAGGAUUAGAUACCCUGGUAGUCCACGCCGUAAACGAUGAUAACUAGCUGUUGGGCCUCAUAGAGGCUCAGUGGCGCAGACUACGACAUUAAGUUAUCCGUCCGUCGGGUAGGUACGGUCGGCGAAGAAUUAAACUAACAAAUAGUAAGUUAGACGGCGUGAGACGUCGCCGAACGGACGACGACGAGGGAGUAGG